rnacentral:rRNA from 1 species
GUGAGGAAUAUUGGUCAAUGGGCGCAAGCCUGAACCAGCCAUGCCGCGUGCAGGAAGACGGUCCUAUGGAUUGUAAACUGCUUUUAUUUGGGAAUAAACUCCGGUACGUGUACCGGCCUGAAGGUACCAAAUGAAUAAGCACCGGCUAACUCCGUGCCAGCAGCCGCGGUAAUACGGAGGGUGCAAGCGUUAUCCGGAAUCAUUGGGUUUAAAGGGUCCGCAGGCGGUCUUAUAAGACAGUGGUGAAAGCCUACAGCUCAACUGUAGAACUGCCAUUGAUACUGUAGGACUUGAAUUCGAUCGAAGUGGGCGGAAUGUGACAUGUAGCGGUGAAAUGCUUAGAUAUGUCACAGAACACCGAUAGCGAAGGCAGCUCACUAGGUCUGGAUUGACGCUCAGGGACGAAAGCGUGGGGAGCAAACAGGAUUAGAAACCCUUGUAGUCC